CGCAUGACAAACCGAACCAAUCAGGUGAUUCGAAGCAGUUGAGUGCUUCAAACGUCACUGAAGUGAUUCAAACGUCACGAGUCACGUGACCAAAACACGCGUCGGCACAGUGGUUCGAUACGUUCGCUUCAUGAGCUUCUGGCUGCUGUUGACCUUGUUUUUGGAGUAAAACACGGUGGAAGCUGAAUUAGUGAGGAUGACUCCUGCUCCUGUCAUCUCUAAGCUCCUCACACAUCUUUACCUGCACAUGAAGAAAAUCACUCCUGUAGAAUGCAGAUGUUCAGAGGGAGAUGAUGCCACAUCUGGUCCAGCUGAUGGAAGGUCUUGAAGUUCUCUGACUGGCCUCGACUGAAGAUGGUCGUCUCACUGGAUUUAAGAUGCACAAUGAGGGACGUCUGCAGCGACUGAGAAAGAGUCUCACCACAUCCUGACAUGAGGAAAAGACUUUAUUGAAGACUACAAUGAGAAAAACUAUCAGACAGCAGACGACAUGCAUUCAAGAGAGGAAGACCAUCAAACAUCCAUGUCAGCUGAUGGAGGUCCAAGAGUCUCACCGAACAAACAACCUACAGAGUAGUAAUGUGAGGAGACGUGCCGAGGCUUCGAAGCGUGUGCCGAGUAAUGGAGGGGGCGUUUCCACGAAGCGCGUAUCGAGGCUUGCUUUAUUUAGGGGAGGAGCCAAAAUGAUGACGUCCGAAGCCUCGCUGCCUGGCUAAACCACGUGACUGCUUCGGAAAGUGGUUCAGAUUUUGCCCCUCAGGCUCCGUUCAAAAUGUGGGUUUUUGAUAGAGAGUUGCGGUCAGUAUUCUACACGUGAGAAUUUAUCUACAGAAAUUAUUUGGUCAUACAUUUUCUUGUAUUUCAUAGUCAUUCCCAACAGCCAUAACCGAUAAAAUUUCAGUGCAUCAGACAUGUGGUUCAGAUACAGCUGCCUGUGAUUAUACACCUGGCCAGUAGGUGGCUUUGUGUGCUCAUGAAGCUUCAAGAAAUGAACCGUUUCUCGAACCAAUUGGCUCAAGUGGUUCAAUGCCUCAUGAGGCUUCAUCUCACGCUCACUACUACAGAGUGAAGACCUCGAAUCUGAUUGGACGGCCUCCUAUUCAGCCACAUGUGUGAACAAAUGACUCUAAGUUGAUUUAAUUUCUAAAAUAAAUCUAGUUUGAGUUCUAAUCUAUGUCUGUGUGUUUGUUUCUUUACACUGCUGUUAACAGUUUAGGCUGUUAGAUUGUUCCAGAUAAACUCUCUACAAGGAUCCAAAAUAAGUUGGGCUUCUACAUGAGAGCUUUAAUUAUUCUUCAUCUACUUCCUGAAAAGUUUGGUCAAUAAAAAAGACAAAAACUAAUAUUUUCAGUUGAACUAAAGACAGACUGUGAUUUUUCUGCUCACAUGUUGUGUUGUUGUAAACUUACUCUUUCAAAUAAAUACCCAUCUAACCCCUUGGAAACCAGCGUUUGUCCUGUUUUUGUGUUGCUCCUCAGCAACCCUAGACAGCCGGGUCGUAAUGUUUUUUGAGCAACACACCAUACUAUGAUGUUUUUACAAUGAUGGUUCUACUAUGGAACCAGUUUGACAUGUUCAGGUGUUCUUUGUGUGAAAAUUCUGAGAUUUCAGGUAUCAGAAGGUGGUUUUCAACUUUCUUUGUUAACUUUCUGCCUCAACUUGAAACUAAAUUUCCUUCACUAACCCAGCCCUCUGGACUUCCAGUAAGCUGUGUUCCUAUUGGCUGUCCAGGUGGCUGCUUGGUGUUAUCAGAAACACCUGAGCAGCUCAGUGUCUUCCUGCUUUAUUUGGCGACAGUCAAACAUUUCCUCUGCUUCUCUUCACCACAGAACUGGGUUUGGCUCCAUUGCUUUAGUUUGUUCUUUAGGCGUUGGCUUGCAGCUUCCAGCAGUAAAAUCAUCUUUAAUGUGUUUCCUGGUGUGUUUUAGGGCUUUGUACUGGAUAGUUGUCUUGGUAAAUGUGGUUUUUUAGCCACAGUUAGCACAUGGUGCUAAUGUGUGCAGUGAUUAGUGGAUUUGGUGCAGCUGAGUUGUGUCUUUAUCUUGGCUGUAGUGAGUCUUUAGAGGUUUUUGGUCAGACACAUUCUGUAUUCUUGUUUGAGAACCGAUGCUGAUUGUCCAGAAGGUAAGAGUUCCUGUCCUGAUUCUCUGUUCUCAGAGGUUCUCUGGUAGGCUGCAGGAGACUUUAGUGUUUGGGUUGUGCUAGUUUGGUUUUUGUAUGGUUUCAUUUGGAUGACUCUUGAGGCUCCUCCAUGUGGUUUAGUGAGGUUUUCUGCAACAGUUCUACAAAGCAACCUGCAGCAGAAGAGACUUUGAGAGUUUUUAGGAAGUUCUGGAGACCAGACUUUAGAGCAGCAGAAACAUUUGUCAGCAGUUUGAGCAGGAGAAGGUGAGCUUCAGAGUAGAAAUGAGACGGAAACCUUCUUAACCCAUGUGGUGAGGUCCUGUACCAAGAGUUUGAGCAGGUUGUGAAGAGUCUGUCGUUCUCUGGUCUGAAAGCACAAGAAGAGUCGACUCAUUAAAGGAGAAAACAGGAGAUAUU
ensembl:lncRNA